GUCUGCAGACAUACCACCCGGAACACACCUGAUCUUUUCUGAUCUCGGAAGCUAAGGAGAGCUGGGCCUGGUUAGUACCUGGAUGGGUGAAAGUAUAAAGAUGAACAAGAUAUUGUUUUUA
rnacentral:rRNA from 1 species